CCUUUCUAAGGAUGAUCAAGAAUUGGAAGCCUUCAUAAAGUGAGCGCAUUCCUUUUUGAUCUCAUUAGACAUAAAGGUUUAAAUUUAGUCAGUUUAAACAAGCCGACAAUUUAAACCUUGUGCAUAUGAACACGCACUUUAAAAAAAUGGUUCUUUCUUUCAAAGAGGCCCCUACCUCUUAUGAAAGUUCCCACUUUCAAGGUGCUGUGCUCAUGUGUUAAGAUAUACAAGCAGACUAGCCGUCUUCGUUUCUCUUUCUUCAGAUGAUGAUCCCAAGCCUUCUGGCGAUCUAGAAAAAACAAGCCUUAACUUUAGGCUUUCAGAAAACACUUUUGUUUUUAUGAAAUGAUGUGUUUUUAUGAGAUUAUGCCGGGGAAGGUUUUCCGGUUUAUCCCGGAGGGCUUGUAGCUCAGUUGGUUAGAGCGCGCGCUUGAUAAGCGUGAGGUCGGAGGUUCAAGUCCUCCCAGGCCCACCAAUUACUCCAUCUAUUUGCUUUAUCUAUCCCUUUAUUCAGUGGCAGAUAACAGUUUUAUAAAAGGAUUAUGGCGCUUAUCUCUUUUGCUUAAGCACUUCAAAGUUAACCCAGUGCAAAUGUAAAGCGAUGCGAAUUUGCUACAAAUUUUGCACUGUCUAUUUUAACGGUUAGAGCAUAUUUAACAUUUUGAAAUCCUUUAUCCUGUUUUAGGGGCCGUAGCUCAGCUGGGAGAGCACCUGCUUUGCAAGCAGGGGGUCGUCGGUUCGAUCCCGUCCGGCUCCACCAUUUUAGGUCAUCAUCAUUGUUGUGAGAACAGUCUUUGUAAAAGGUUUAAUGAUCUUUUGCUUGUUCUAUUGAAAUUGUGAAGAGAAGAUAUAUUCAGACAUGACUUUUAAUAGUUUUUGUUUUUUUUUAGAAAUAAGAGCUUAAAAGUGAUGUGUCGCAAGGGAAUGCUCAAAGCCCUUGCUUAUGAUUGGAAGCUUAACCGCGCCACUGAGUAUAUCUCGAGAAGCUGGUCUUUUCUGCUGAUAUUUUUGUUUAUUUUGCACAAGAUAAACAGUGAAUGAAUAUUGGCAAUGAGAACG
rnacentral:tRNA from 1 species